GGGCACUUUGGCGGAGUGGUUAACGCGAUGCCCUGCUAUCUACAUCACGUGGAAGUCAGGCAUUUCCUUCGGGAGCGAGUGUUCGAAUCACUCAGGUGUCG
rnacentral:tRNA from 1 species